GAGGGUAUAGCUCAGUGGUAUAGAGCGCAUGCUUAGCAUGCAUGAGGUCCUGGGUUCAAUCCCCAGUACUUCCA
rnacentral:tRNA from 1 species